rnacentral:rRNA from 1 species
GGGUAGAGUAAUGCGUGACCAACCUGCCCCAUGCUCCAGAAUAGCUCUUGGAAACGGGUGGUAAUGCUGGAUGCUCCAACUUGACGCAUGUCUUGUUGGGAAAGUGUUUAGUGGCAUGGGAUGGGGUCGCGUCCUAUCAGCUUGUAGGCGGGGUAAUGGCCCACCUAGGCUUCGACGGGUAGCGGCCUGAGAGGGCGGACGGCCACAUUGGGACUGAGAUACGGCCCAGACUCCUACGGGAGGCAGCAGCC